rnacentral:rRNA from 1 species
UAGGGAAUCUUCCGCAAUGGGCGCAAGCCUGACGGAGCAACGCCGCGUGUGUGAAGAAGGUCUUCGGAUCGUAAAGCACUGUUGUUAGAGAAGAACGACCGCUAGAGUAACUGUUAGCGGAGUGACGGUAUCUAACCAGAAAGCCACGGCUAACUACGUGCCAGCAGCCGCGGUAAUACGUAGGUGGCAAGCGUUGUCCGGAUUUAUUGGGCGUAAAGGGAGCGCAGGCGGUGACUUAAGUCUGAUGUGAAAGCCCACGGCUCAACCGUGGAGGGUCAUUGGAAACUGGGUCGCUUGAGUGCAGAAGAGGAAAGUGGAAUUCCAUGUGUAGCGGUGAAAUGCGUAGAUAUAUGGAGGAACACCAGUGGCGAAGGCGACUUUCUGGUCUGUAACUGACGCUGAGGCUCGAAAGCGUGGGGAGCAAACAGG